GGAAUAUUGGUCAAUGGACGAAAGUCUGAACCAGCCAAGUAGCGUGCAGGAUGACGGCCCUAUGGGUUGUAAACUGCUUUUAUAUAGGGAUAAAGUCGGGGACGUGUCCCCGUUUGUACGUACUAUAUGAAUAAGGACCGGCUAAUUCCGUGCCAGCAGCCGCGGUAAUACGGAAGGUCCAGGCGUUAUCCGGAUUUAUUGGGUUUAAAGGGAGCGCAGGCUGAUGAUUAAGCGUGACGUGAAAUGUAGCCGCUCAACGGCUGAACUGCGUCGCGAACUGGGUUUCUUGAGUGAGUACGACGUGGACGGAAUUCGUGGUGUAGCGGUGAAAUGCUUAGAUAUCACGAAGAACCCCGAUUGCGAAGGCAGUCCACGAGUCCUUUACUGACGCUAAAGCUCGAAAGUGCGGGUAUCGAACA
rnacentral:rRNA from 1 species